rnacentral:rRNA from 1 species
UCUAAAAUGACUCUCGGCAACGGAUAUCUCGGCUCUUGCAUCGAUGAAGAACGUAGCGAAAUGCGAUACUUGGUGUGAAUUGCAGAAUCCCGUGAACCAUCGAGUCUUUGAACGCAAGUUGCGCCCGAAGCCAUUAGGCUGAGGGCACGUCUGCCUGGGUGUCACAC